rnacentral:rRNA from 1 species
GAUGAACGCUGGCGGCGUGCCUAAUACAUGCAAGUCGAGCGAACCGACGAGGAGCUUGCUCCUCUGACGUUAGCGGCGGACGGGUGAGUAACACGUGGAUAACCUACCUAUAAGACUGGGAUAACUUCGGGAAACCGGAGCCAAUACCGGAUAAUAUAUUGAACCGCAUGGUUCAAUAGUGAAAGACGGUUUUGCUGUCACUUAUAGAUGGAUCCGCGCCGCAUUAGCUAGUUGGUAAGGUAACGGCUUACCAAGGCAACGAUGCGUAGCCGACCUGAGAGGGUGAUCGGCCACACUGGAACUGAGACACGGUCCAGACUCCUACGGGAGGCAGCAGUAGGGAAUCUUCCGCAAUGGGCGAAAGCCUGACGGAGCAACGCCGCAUGAAUGAUGAAGGUCUUCGGAUCGUAAAACUCUGUUAUUAGGGAAGAACAAAUGUGUAAGUAACUAUGCACGUCUUGACGGUACCUAAUCAGAAAGCCACGGCUAACUACGUG